rnacentral:rRNA from 1 species
GUCGAACCACACGAACGUUAUUCGGAAUUACUGGGCUUAAAGGGUGCGUAGGCGGCGCGGUAAGUAGGGUGUGAAAUCCCUCGGCUCAACCGAGGAACUGCGCUCUAAACUACCGUGCUCGAGGGAGAUAGAGGUGAGCGGAACUUAGGGUGGAACGGUGAAAUGUGUUGAUAUCCUAAGGAACACCGGUGGCGAAAGCGGCUCACUGGAUCUCUUCUGACGCUGAGGCACGAAAGCUAGGGUAGCGAACGGG